rnacentral:rRNA from 1 species
GAAAUGCAUUUAGGUGCAGCGUCGUAUUAUAGCUUGGUGGAGGUAGAGCGACUGGUUGGUUGAGCGGGACUACAAUCUUAGCAAUGUCAGCCAAACUCCGAAUGCCACUAAUUGUGUUGUACGGCAGUGAGACUGUGGGGGAUAAGCUUCAUAGUCGAGAGGGAAACAGCCCAGACCAUCAGCUAAGGCCCCUAAGCGGUGACUAAGUGGAAAAGGAUGUGGAGUCGCAGAGACAACCAGGAGGUUGGCUUAG